ensembl:snoRNA
GGUUAAUGAUGUAAUGUUAUGUAUUAGCUGAAUCCAAAGUUGAGGUGAGUUCUAAAAUUACACCAAGACCUU